UUAGCCACAACCACCCACGUGGCACCUCAAAUUUUUCUAAAGCUUUCCAGAUUAUGGUCAAAUGACCAUUUCACCCCUAAUUUUGCUCGUUUAUAUCUUAUUCGUUAUAACUCCAUUUCACGAAUGCUUUUUGCCUACGCGCUCGUAGGACGGAGUUCUAUCCAAAUUUAACAAGAAAUAAUUUAAUAUGUAUGAGUAUAAAAUACAUCCUCAUAUAAUUAAGUAAAACCAACUAGGACCAUUUUCAUAUUUUUCACUUAUCGAUACAUUUUACGACAUAAAUUAUAAUAAUUUCUGGUAAUAAAACUUUAAAAUUUCUCAAUUAAAUUUUCAUAAUCAUAAAUCGAUUUAUUUUUGAUUUUCUCCACAUAUUCAUAAUUAUGAAUAUCAAAUUCAUAUACUUAAAUUUUUCAGGGUAUUACAGGUUGGGCUUUAAUUCGGCCCGCGUUUUUAAUGUUUGUAGGGCUGGUAUAUGAAUAGUUGUGUUCUUAUGGUUAAAUCUCAAGCCUUUUUGGUUAAAUAAAAGUUUAAGGUGGUUUUUUUUAUUUAAAAAAGGUUGCCCCAACCUCUUUUCAUUAAAGCUCCCUUUCUUUAAUUGUUAAGAUUUAAAAAUAAUUCUUAAUUUCAUACCAAACAAAAUUUUGAAUCUUAUAAAAAACUGUUCUUAAGAAAUGGUUCUAAGAAAUAUUUUGAAAAUGAUGAAAAACUUUGAGUAGGAUGUCAAACAAACCCAUAGGAUGUCCUCCAUGGUGAUCUACAAAUAGCACUAAGCACAUGCGUCAUCGGGGGCGUGUAAAAGGUGUAGUGGCACAUGGUCCCAAAUUUUUUAGGACCUCAAAAAUUUUCAUCGUCCUAUAUAUUACAUUUUUUUUGUCAUACCCAGUGCACAAGGCUCCCGCUUUACGCAGGGUCUGGGAGAGGUGAAUGUCGGCUAGCCUUACCCCCAUUUAUAGAGAGGCUGCUCCCAAGUCUCGAACCCGAGACAUACCGCUCAUGGGCGAAGGCACUUGCCAUCGCACCAAGUGCGACCUCUGUCCUAUAUAUUACAUAUGAGUAUAAAUUUUUCUAACAAAAAAGUUUUUAACUGAAAUGAUAUAUCAUCAUCAUUUUAUCUAUAUCACAAUUGAUUAAGUGGAGUCUAUACUUAAUAUAUUAAAUUUUCACUUUUCUCUAACAAUAAAAAAAGUUGUGUAUUAUUUUCUUCCACUUUUCUCUAGCAAUAAAAAACUAACUUGUUUAUUACUUUAUUCCACAAACACAAGCGUAUUUCGUAUCUCUCUUUCCGUCAUGCUUUUUUUUUUCAUGGAUGAACCUUAAAUCAUUAUUUCAUGAAAAUUGAAAAUUAUUCAAUUAGUAAGAAUGAGAUUCUGAUUUUAAUUAAAUUUGAAUAUUAAUUAUUGAAUUAUGUAUGUAUAUACUAUUGAAAAAUUAUUUUUUUUUAAAAUAAAGAUGACCUUUUUAAUUAAAUUCAGGCCUCCGAAACGUUAGGGGCGACCCUGGCACUAACUGCUGGAACAUGGUGUAUUACACAUAGGAAUGAUGCCACAUAUUGCUGACCAAAUACAACACGCUUCCAAGGUGUUUUAUGGAAAGAAACCAUGAACGCUUCAAAGAUUCGUAGAAAAUGGGAGGGUAGUGUAAUUGCAAAAAUUCUUCGACGCUCAAAUCAGAAUACAUACCUUAGGGUUUAAACUCGACUUCAUAGCAUUUCACUUUCAGUUUUCUAAAGAUCGAUAAUGCCCUCUCCAUCCUCUCGUAUAGUCAAGAGUCCAGUAAUACACACGAUAGCUGCUAGCAAGAUUACAUAGGAACUAAUUGUGUGCAACUUUGAAAUGUUUUAUUUUUAUUUUUAUCACAAAUUGGCACACGCAUGAUACGUACAGAUGCAAUCUACAUGGUUUGGCUUAAGGACUUCUGGCACAAUCUAUGCUCAUAUUGGAAGUCUAAAGCCAUAUUUUUUUUUAUUUUUCAUAAAUUGGCACAAGCAAGAUGCAGAUGCAAUCUAGACGUUUUGGCUUAUGGACUUGGCACUAUCCAUGCUCAUAUUGGAGAUUGGAUCUCAAUCGUUUCAAGAGUUCACAGUCAGUCGGAUUAGUAUUUCACUAUUACAUCGAUUUGGUCUCAACUUAACUAUUUACACAUCCCAACCGGUUCUAAGUUUUAUCACAAGAUGUUUUGGUACAACUAAAAGUAGAACUAUUCAAUAUAAACUAUAAUUUAUCGAUAUGAGAUUGCUAUCUUUAACUACUCAUUAUAUUAAGAAUUAGGAAAAUGAGUAUUGACAUUAGACAAAAUCUCUUUGAAGCUUCAUCUGUUCUGUUGGUACCUUUUUAAUAUUAAAUAAAAUAAUUAUAAUUGUCACUAUUUGGUUGUUAGUGAGAAUUAAGUCCGUUAUGUGUAAAUAUUUGUUAUUAGUAAAAUUAUAAUUUCCUAAGUCUUUGAUAUGAGAUUCAACCACUCAUUAUAUUAAGAAUUAGGAAAAUGAGUAUUGACAUUAGACAGAAUCUCUUUGAAGCUUAUCUGUUGGUGCAUUUUUAAUAUUAAAUGAAAUAAUUAUAAUUGUCAUUUUUUGGUUGUUAGUGGGAAUUAAGUUUGUUAAUAUUUGUUAUUAGUGGGGAAUUAAGUGCAGUUUUUCAACCUUUUACCAAUCGUAACUGUUGUAUCUCAAGGCUGUCACCAUCGUUGUGCUUGGUACGAAAGAGGACCUAGACGUCCUUAUUCUUUAGAAAACUGAAAGCAAAAUGCUAUGGGAGUGGUGUUUGACCCUACGGCUACGGUACGUACUCUUAUUUGAGCGUCGGAAAAUGUUUUGCAAUUACAGCACCCUCCCAUUUUGUACGAAUCUUUGAAGCGUUCACAUCACAAUUUCUUUUCAUAAAAUAAAGAAAGUUUUAAUAAAAUACUUCCAAUAUUGUUUAUUUAUAGCGAAAAACCACAUUUAUACCUUUAUCUGUUAUUAUUUAUUAUACCUUUAAAAAAGAUUUUUCAUUAAAAGGGAAGUUUUUUAGGAUUUUUCGUUAGUUUUCCUUAAAAUAAAACACCUUGAAAGUAGAUAUAACAAUUUCUUACACGACCCGUUACCACGACACGUAAAUGACACGAAAAUAACGGGUUUUGGUCAACACGUAACUAAUCGGGUCACUAUUGGGUUACACGAUAAUAACCCGUUAAUAACGGGUCCUUAACAAGUUUACACGAGAGUGACACGCGAGUAACCUAUUUCGACACGAUAAAAAAAAAUUAUUUUGAUAAUUUUAAUUUUUUAAACUACUAAAAAAAAACUUACUAUAUAAUACAAUAGAUAUAAUGAAUAUGUAUAUAUUGUUUAUUAAUUAUUAUUCUAUAUAAAUUUUAAAUUUUAAGUUUUAUUUAUUUAUUUAUUUUUAUAGUAUAUUAUAGGCAAAGAUUGAGAUUAAAAAUCAUAAAACACAUUAAAAAUAAAAAUAUCAAGUAAUUUAAAAAUACCAAACACAUUAAAAAAAUUAUAAUAAUUAAUUUACAUGCGCGAAAAAUAUGAAAAAAAUAUGCAAACGCUCGUAGUCGCAUCAUCUACGCUUUGAGGAUGGCUAUAUGAUCGUUUGAAUUCUUAAAAUCAUACAAACUCUCAUGAAUAGUAUUUUAAGGGAGUUCAAAAUAAACAAAAUUCAUAAUCAUUAAUAUAUAAGUAUGAAAGAUGUGAAAGCAUAAUAAACGUUCAUAAUUGCAUCCUCAACGCUUAGACGAUGGUUACAUGGUCGUUCAGAUUUUUAAAACCCUCCAAAUCUCAUGAAUAGUGUUUUUAUUUGACUGCAAAAUUAAUAAUAAUUAUUGUAGAAGUGUGAAAAAUGUAAUCACUCGUAAUGAAAAACUUUACAACUUUCAUAAAAGGGUCAAUUCUGAAAUUUAGUAUUAUGUUUUACAUUUUUUUGGGUCAAAUUAUGUUUUUCAUUUUCAUUUUUAUUGAUUUAAAAUAUAUUUUUCUUAAUGGGUAACGGAUCGGGUCAUAUUACUUGAUAAUAUUAACGGGUUGAUUUCAGGUUGAGUCAUAUUACCCAUUUACUUUAACAGGUAUUACACAACACGACCCGUUAAGCUAUCGGGUAUGACACGAAAAGUGGAAUCAUUUCUAUAUGUAAUACAUCAUGUUCCAGCAAUUAGCGGCUUAGGGUUAAUAUUAAGUCACCACGGAGGACAUCCUAAAAGCUAAGGGUCCAUUUGGUAUUCUACUAAAUUUUUUUUAUCAUUUUCAAAAAUAAUUCAUAAAACCAUUUAUUACGAAUAGUUUUUUAUAAGACUCAAAAACUUGUUUGGUAUAAACGAAAGGGAGAGAGAAUGGAGAGAGAAUUUGGAGUGAGAGAGAGAGAGAGAAAGAGAGUUAAGGGAAAGGAUCAGAAAAGAGAGGAGAAUCGAAGAGGAGAGAAGAGGGAGAAAAAUCAUAAUAGAUUAAAAGAGAAGCUAGAAGGAAAUGAUCGGAUAAGAGAAAGGAGAGAAAAGACGAGAAGAGAGAAAAAUCAAAACAAUUAGAAAGAGCUAGAUGAGAGAGAAAGAAGAAAAUAGGAAGCAAUAAGAUAGAAAGAGAAGAGGAGAGAGAAAAAUUUUAAAAAUAGUCUUAGAAACAAAAAUUAUUCAGUUGAGACUAAAAAACUGUUUUUGAGUUAAAACAAUUUAAUUCAAAUUGGAUGCUAAACAGGCCCUAAGAAACUUGCAAAUUCACUCAACCAAAGUUCAAAUGAACACAAGCAGUAGCUGCUAGCAAGAUUACAUAGGAACUAAUUGUGUCCAACUUUUGAAAUGUUUUUAUUUUUAUUAUUAUCAUAAAUUAGGACACGCACAAUACAGAUGCAAUCUAGACAUUUUGGCCUGUGGACUUCUGGCACUAUCCAUGCUCAUAUUGGAAGUCGGAUUUCAAUCCUGUCAAGAGUUCACAGUCGGACCAUUAUUUCACUAGUAAUCACAUUGAUAUAGUCUCAACUUGACUAUUUACACAAUCCGACACAUACUAAGUUUUAUCACAAAAUGUUAUAGUACAACUCAAAGUAGAACCAUUAAGUAUAAAUUAUAAUUUAUUAAGUUUUUGAUAUGAGAUUGCUUUCUUCAACCACUGAUUAUAUUAAGAAUUAGGAAAAUGAGUACCGACAUAAUUUCUUUGAAGCUUCAUCUGUUCCCUUUCUGUGGGUAUGAUGUGUGUGUGUAUAUAUAGAAGUAUAUAACCAAUUAAUAAUUACGUAAACGUCACCAGUCUACUUGUUAUUUCAAUGAUUAAUAAUGAUAUAUAUAGAUGCAUAUAUAUACCUUUGCAGUCAAGGACAUUAUCCUUUUCCUUGCCACGAAAAUUCCAGAUUCUUUCACGAAUACACAAGUAUAUUAUAUAUCCAUAUGUGUGUAUUCGUAUGUGUAUAUAUACCAUAUCGUUGUGCUUCAAUAUUCCCAUAAAACUUUGUGUUGAGUCUCCCUCCAAAAUUGGAAAGAGCACGAGCUUUUCCAAGUUAGCUUGUGGUCUCUGAUCGUUCAUACUUAAAAGGUACGUAAAUUUUGUAAAACUCACAUCAUAUAUAUAUAUAUAUAUAUGUCAGUUCUUGCUUUAAUUAAUUUCCCUAACUGCAUGGUACUCUUGCAUGGAGAUAAUUCUACAAGCUAUAUGGAUUGUUUUCAAGCCAGUCCCUAGAAUUUUUGCUUCGGGUCAGAUUGUUAAAAAUAACACUUUUAACGUUAAUUUUUAAACUAGAGGAAGGUAGUACAGGAUGGAUAUCCGAUCCGAUCGAUCAAUCAUAUCAGAAAAUGGUUCAACAGACGUUGUAGGGUCGUCUUCAACCCAUCGGGAGCAAUCUUCACAAGAAAUUGAAGGGAGCACUACAAUUGUAAGCUUUCAAGGCUACACUUGUUCCACGAGGACACGUCGUUAUCCAUUACCACCACUCGUCGGAACACCAAUUAUAGCAAUCAUACCUAGUCCAGAAAUAUAUCAACCUCCACCCCCUCCAGAUAACACACCAUGGGGUGAUAAUGAUUCAGGAUGUACACAUAUCUUCGAUCAAGUAAGAAAAGAAAGGCUUGCUGCUAAAGAAACUCAAGGUAAGCGUGAAGCCAUCAGUAUUUCUUGCAUUAUUUUUAUUUAAUACAGGCACAACUUUUUUUAAAAUUUUAAUCGACUUUUUUGUUCCUUUUGCUUUUCUUUAAUUUUGUAGUGUUUUUUUUUUUUUUUUUUUUUUUUUUUUUAAGGAGGGAGUAGUUGGCUACCGAGCAAAUUUCUUGAAUGGGGAAGGAGUCGAAUGCAUUUCAAUGAUGAUACAGUAACACCAAAUGGGAGCGUGCCAACUGAAGUUGCAGCAGCUUCCACUCCAGCAGCAGCACCUACACCGAAUUCAAAUACCAUUUCAUGUAUAUGUCUCCUUCCACUGCAUCACAUAUGCCGUAUAUAUGCAUAUUUUCUCUUCAUUCACCACAACACAAACUGACGUUUAUAGCAUGCCAGAAACGCUAUAAUAUGAUAGCGUUUAUUAUAGUGUUUUAGAGAGUGCUAUGUCAACCAACACUAACUUGUUGGAACUAACGUGAGAAGAAAUUAAGUAUGAAAUAAGGAUGAUGCUAUUUGGGUCGUAAUUAAUGAUCACAUUAUUGAUCACCUCUCUAAUAUAGAUGAGACUCACGUACAAGGGGUGGUUCAACUCUAUUAGAGAGGUACAAGAUAUAGUCAUUGAAUAUAGUACAAAUUAUUAAAGAAUGGUAACAGAACUCAAAUAAUGGUUCACUACUGAAGAAAAAAGGAAAAAGAAACUCACAUUUCAAAUUGUAUAUCCUAACCCAUUAUUUAAUUAGUUACUGAAUUGUUUGCUUAAAUAAUCUUGCCAGCGUUGCCAAUUAACGCCUCCCUAGUUCCCUAUGUUCAACUACAUCUUGCUGCUCUCAAUGGUGACUGGAUUGCUGCAAACAAUUUCUUGGUAUCAAAUCCUGAAGCUGUGAGGGCUAAGAUCACAAAGGGUUCAGAAACUGCUCUCCAUAUUGCUGCCGGGGCCAAACAUACAACAUUUGUUCAGGAGCUAGUUAAAUGGAUGAUGCCGUCUGACCUAGAACUGAAGAAUGAUGUGGGAAACACUGCCCUCUAUUUUGCUGCUGUUUCCGGUGUCAAAAGGAUUGCCGAGAUAAUGGUAGAUAAGAAUCCGAGGUUACCCCAAAUCAGAGGUAGUAAGAUUCAACACCUCUUCAUAUGGCUACUUUGUUAGGGCACAGGGAGAUGGUAUGGUAUCUUUACGACAAGACUGAUACAAUUUUGAAGGACUCCGACCGUGUGGGGCUUCUUAUUGCCGCAAUAGCAGCCGAUCUUUAUGGUAAGGACGUACGUACCUUUUCAAUUUAGAUCUUUAUCAUAUGAUAAACUUAUGAAAGUCCCUGUAGACAAGUAUAAUUUGAUUAGGUCCCAAAACAUGAUCAUAUAUAUAGGUCGUAUACCUUAAAAUAAUUUAUCUGUGAGAAUGCAUCUACGUGUAUGUUUGCAAACGUAACAUUUUAUUAUGGUCCCCUAUGCCUAUGCAACCGAGUUCAAAUUCAUCUCUCCGCAUUCCUGCAGUUUAAAUUAGCUUUAAGAAUAUCGCUCCUAAAACAAAUAAGGUAUAUAUUGUAAUCAAAUUGUCUAGCUAAAAUUCGUCGAGAUAUACAUAUAUCAUGAUAAUUAUUAACUUCAUGAUAAUUAACUACAGAUCUUGCACUGGAUAUAAUUCAAAAGCACCCUGACAUGGCUUUUGCUCGAGAUGAUGAAAAUCGAGAGACUGCACUUCAUGUGAUGGCACGAAAACAUUCAGCUUAUUAUAAUGGAAGUCAACCGGGAGUUCUGCAACGAUUCGUAUUUUCAGGUUAGGGUUUAUAACAUGUUACAUGUCAUAUUUUAACUCAACUCUUUUGCUUAACAUGCAAGUUAAUUUUCUGUUUUAUGCAGUCCCUCGUAUCAAGGUUUGCUACAACAAAAAAGUUAUGCAUACGCAAGCCAUUGAGCUUGUGAAGCAGCUGUGGAAGAAAGUACUUACUUUAGAAAAUGAUUCAAAAAUUAGUGAUUUAAUCAGAGCACCCUCUCGCUUAUUGUUCAGUGCUGCUGAGUUGGGGAACAUCGACUUCCUAAUCAUACUUAUGAGAACAUACCCUAAUCUUAUAUGGAAAGUUGAUGAACAAAAUCGAAGCAUAUUUCACACUGCAGUUGUUCACCGGCAGGAGAAAGUUUUCAAUCUCAUAUAUGAAUUAGGUGGACUGAAAGAUAUAAUUGCAUCUUACAAAGACGAAGACAAUAAUAAUAUGCUUCAUUUGGCAGCCAAACUUGCACCGGAUGAUCGAUUAAAUAUUGAUACGGGGGCAGCAUUGCAAUUCAGAAGAGAGUUACAAUGGUUUAAGGUAAGAUUUUUCCCUCAAUAAACACAGAUUAACUGUAUCUAAUCUUCCUAAUCUUUGUUGACUAAACUCUUUAAUUGCAAAGGAAUGAUCUGAAAUGAGGAAUCUGAAUUUGAUUUUCUAGUGCAAAGUUUCUCAAUUUAAUCUGAGAGAGUAGUCAUUUCUUGAGUUGUGACCUAGAGCAAAUAUUUUGCCAUUUUCGGGUAAAGGAUUCAUAAGCUUGAAAAGCUAAAGGUUAUAGAUGUUUACUAACGAGAUCAUGAUCCAAUUUUUCUCUUCUUAAUACCUCUGAUGGCCAGUUGUGCGGCAUGAGCGGAACAUCUAAAGUUCAAAUCCCCCUCUCAAGUUGAUAAGAAAAAGUGUAUUUUUGUUUACACAUGAUUUUAAUUACUACUAAUAAUGUUUGUCAUUUUACUUUGUUCAAUACUUUUAGUUAGACUAAUUGAGAUCACACGUGCAUAAAAAUUUAGGAAGUGAAGAAGAUCGUCCAACCAUUAUACAAGGAAAUGAGAAACUCGGAUGGAAAAACACCUCAAGUCCUAUUCACUGAAGAGCACAAGGACUUGUUACGAGAAGGAGAAAAGUGGAUGAAGGGCACUGCAUCAUCGUGCAUGCUUGUGGCAACGCUCAUUGCCACCGUAAUGUUUGCCGUUUUCUCCACAGUACCGGGCGGAAACAACAACGACACGGGCAUUCCGAUUUUUCUCAACUCGAGGGCCUUCAUGGUUUUUGCCAUAUCAGAUGCACUCUCCCUCGUCUCCUCCGCCACAUCAAUCUUGAGUUUCCUGUCCAUUCUUACAUCACGCUAUGCAGAAGAAGAUUUCCUCCACUCGCUACCGAAUCGGUUGAUUGUAGGCAACCCUUUUCAUCUCUAUAGUUACCAUGAUGAUCACGUUCGUAGCGUCGCUAUACAUCGUUCUAGGCCAUGGAUAUCAAGGGAUCAAAUUUCCAAUAACUUUGGCCGCGGGCGUUCCUGUUAGUUUCUAUGCUCUGUUACAGUUUCCUCUUCUUGGAGAUAUGAUCAGUCAUGCUUAUAUUUCAAGGGUAUCCUUUCGUCCCAUGGGGGCACUCAACUAAUUAUGCAAGGCCAACUGUAAAGCUAUGAAGUUUAUGCUUUGUAAAAUUAUUAUGUUUUGAAGUGGGUUGGAUAAAUUUUUGGGUGAUUUUGUACAAAAUCAAUAAAAAGUUAAAGUAUUAACAAUAUAUCAACAAUAGGUAUGUUAAUCAUAUAUAAGUCAAUCAUGUAUUAGGAAACAUAUGCAUUUAAAAUAAACAAAAUUUACAAAAUAUACCAUUGUGGCUGGCAUCCACCACAACCAACACCCCCUUUCUCAUAUUUUUUAUAUUCUGGUAUAAGUCAACACGGAUCAAAUACUGCAAUGCAGUGUUCAUUUCUUGGUUUGACUUUUCCACCACUCACACAUCCUACGUGUCCGUAUAUACUUUUAAAUUCAGACACUGCAAUGCAAUGCCCAUUUUCUGGUUAUGUUUUUACUUUUGAAUUCAAACGUUGCACUCCAGUGUCCACUUUCUUAUUUCAUUUUUUCACCACUCACAUGCCUCCUAAGUGUCCAACUUUACAUUUAGAUUUAGAUAAUGCAAUGUUUUAUAUUUUUUACAUUUGGAUUCAGACACUGUGUUCCAUUUCCUGGUCCUGUUUUUUUCAUUAUUUACACACCUCCUACUCUUCACACCUCCCAUAACUCUUGAUCUUAUACAUUUGUAUUCAGACAAUGCAAUGCAGUGUUCAUUUUCUGGUCCAUUUUUAUUUAUGUUUUGUCUCUGCAACUACAACCAUAAUAUUGACCGACUUUAAUGGAAUAAGGAUACUGAUGCUAGUAUAUCCUCUUGAUAUUAAUUAACAGAUGUGAAACAACGUUUAUAACCCUAAUUCAAAGAAUAAGAAAGAUUUUUGUUUUUUUUUGAAAAAAAAAAUGGUCACUGGAAAACAAAUUUGUCUUAAGGAUUAAGAAGUCUUCAAACGUGGGUUGGCACUUCAGGCCCUCAAAGCUCAAGCAAACAAGAAAAGCGGCACCAAUGAUAGAAUUUGCAUGAUUAAUUUGAAAGAGUUAGACAAACAAACUGUACAGAAUUGAAAACAAGGCAGGUUUUGAGAAUGUGUUCAUAGAGAGAAAGAGAGAAGGGUAUAAGAGUAAAGUUCUAACUAUAUAAUGAAAAAGUCUCAUGUGACAUUCAUUUAUUGAUCAAAUGAUGUGGAUAUUGAUGAUUGAAUUUUACUUAACUAUUUAUUAACGUGCCUAUUUUCUAUUAAUGACACAUCAUUUGGUUUGCAAAUUUGAUUUCCCUAACAUUAUCCAUAAAAAUAUAUCAUUGAUUAAGUUCAAACCAAAAAUAUGUCAUUGAUAGAUGACUAAAUAGCAAUGUAUUAAAAGGGGAAGACACAGGUAAGGCAUCCCAUAGAUAGCCCCGCCUAAGCAUGAGGCGUGAGGCUACCUAAAAUUUUAAUAUUACAUAUAUAUAUAUAUAUAUAUAUAUAUAUAUAUAUAUUUAAAAAUAUAAUACUUUGUAAAACAAAUAUAAUUAUAACUAAAUAAAAGAUGAUAUCAUCUGCUUCAUUACUAUGACUAGUUGUGCUUAGAAACUAUGUCAUAAAGUCUUCAAAUGUUGUACCUAUUUAUUUUAUUGUAAGCAAUUAUAGAGAACAUCAAGAUAAAUAAGGGUGAGUGGCCACAAUUAUAGGGAAUUUCAAGAAAAAUAAAGGCUAAAUGUCACAAUUAUAGGGAAAUUCAAAAGAAAAUAAAAGUUGAGUGAAGCAAUUAUAAAGAAUUUAAAAUGAAAUAAAAGUUGAGUGGUGUUGUAGGCCUAUUUGAUUGAAAAAUCUAGGUUUUAGAGAGAGAGGGGGCCGACCACUAUUAGAGAGAAGAGAGAUUGAUUUAAUUGUGAGGUGUGUUUGAUUCACUCCAUUGUGCCUUUAUUUAUAGUAGUAGGAAAGGUAAAACCUUUCCCUUUAGGAUUACAACAUUUAAUAGGUAAUCUAAUCAUAAUAGGAAUAUAAGAUACAUUCCCAGAUUCCUUAGGAUUUACACAAUCACAUUCCUAUUCUAAAUAUGACUGCAACACUCCCCCUUGAGUGUGUAAAUACUCAACAAACCAUCGCAUCAGAUCUUCAGCAAAUAAGGUAGAAUAGUUGAUGAAUUCAUCAACACAACGGGUGAUCGCGAGUCUCAAAUUUACUUUGAACUAUGCAUUUGCAAAAACUCACAAAAACCUUGCUAUGGUAAAACCCAAGAUAGGCAAAAACUCAUAGACUAAGGAGAAAAGUAAGAAAAUAUGCAUAAUGUCUAAAACACUCAUCAAACUGGACGAAGGUAGUGAACUCAUCAGAGUAUGAUCAUCCUAAGGUGUGUGUCUCAUUAAAACCUCGUUAGGUAGCAAAAACCCAGUGGGAAAAAUGCUCAUAAUCGUAGGAAAAAGAGUACAUUAAGAUCAUGUGAGUAUGCUUCUAGAUACUCCCCCUAAGUUAGACAUAACUUCUAAAUAAGAUAACUACAAGUGAUUCAACUCAGAUAAUUUACGCAUACCGAUUCCUUGGACAAGCUUCUGAAAUAUAGACUUGGGCAAUGACUUGGUAAAGAGAUCGGCCAGGUUGUCCUGGGAACGGAUUUGCUUGACUUCAAUGUUCUGAUGUUGUUGUUGCUUGUGUGAGUAAAAGAAUUUCAGCGCUAUGUGCUUAGUGUUGUCUCCCUUGAUGUAUCCCUUCUUCAGCUGCUCAAUACAUGCUGCAUUGUCUUCAAAGAUCGUCGUAGGAAGGUCAACGACUAAUGUAAGACCACUAGUGCUUCGAAUAUGUUGCAUAACUUCUCUCAGCCAAAAGCACUCACAUGAUGCUUCAUUUAGGGCGAGAAUCUCAGAAUGGUUAGACGAAGUCGCAACUAGUGUUUGCUUGGUAGACCUCCAAGAUAUAGUGGUGUCUCUAACGGUAAAGACAUAACUCAUUUGAGAACGUGCUCUAUGUGGGUCAGACAAAUAUCCAGCAUCUGCAUAACCAACAAGGUGAGAAUCAAUCUGAGGGCCAUAGGAGGCGGUACCACUUAGAGAUUCGCCGGUAUAGAACAAACCCAAAUUCGUAGUACCUUUGAGGUAACAUAAAAUGUCUUUAACAUCAUUCCAGUGCCUGCGUAUAGGCGCAUUGCUGUAUCUAGCCAAUAGAUUCACAGCGAAGGAGAUGUCAGGUCUAGUGCACUGAGCCAAGUACAAUAAAGCCCCAAUUGCACUUAGGUAAGGAACUUCGGGUUCCAAAAUCUCUUCCUUUUCCUCAUUUGGACUGAAGGGAUCUCGUUUAGCAUCUAGAGUUCAAACGACCAUGGGUGUACUCGAAGGCUUCGCUUUAUCCUCAUUAAAACGUCACAACACCUUUUUGGGUGUAGUUCAAUUGAUGUACUAGGAUUCCAUCCGAACAAUGCUCGAUCUCUAGGUCGAGACAGUAUCGAGUUUUCCCAAGAUCCUUCAUCUCAAAUUCCGAUUUCAAGUGUGUAGCAAUUUCCUCAAGCUAUGUGGAAGUCCUAAUGAGGUUCAUGUCAUCGACAUAAACUGCAAUGAUUGCAAAUCUGGAAUGUGACUUCUUUAUGAACACGCAUGGGUAUAGUUCAUUGUUCACAUAACUCUGACUUGUCAAAUAUUCACUCAAAUGGUUAUACCACAUCCACCCGGAUUGUUUUAAUCCAUAAAGUAACCUCUUCAACCUAAUUGAAAGAGUGUUCCGUGGUCUAGAACUAUUUGAGCCAGUCAAUGGAAGUCCUUCUAGAACUUUCAUAUAAAUUUCCGUUUCCAAAUCCCUAUAAAGAUACGCAGUUACCACAUAUUUAGUUUUUCGAAACUACCAAACUGAUUUGGUAGCGAAACGUUAUAACGUCCAUUACGGGGGAAUACGUUUCUUCGUAAUCAAUCCUUGGGCGCUGAGAGAAGCCUUGCGCUACGGGGCGUGCUUUAUAUCGCACUAUUUCAUUCUUCUCAUUACGCUUCCUCACAAAAACACACUUUUAGCCAACGGGCUUCACGCAUGGUGGUGUAGGAACGAUAGGUCCAAAUACCUUACGUUUCGCGAGCGAAUCGAGUUUGACCUGGAUUGCUUGUUUCCAAUUUGACCAAUCGGUUCUACGUUAACAUUCAUCGACGAAACGUGGUUCAAUGUCAUCGCUAAGCAUGAUGUCAAUAGCUACUAAGUACGAGAAUGCAUCAUCGACGAUCAUCUCAUUCGUAUUCUAAACCUCAUCCAAUACUAUGUAGUGGACCGAAAUCUCACAAUUCUCAGGAGGCCGGCAUGUUUCAUCUGAAGCAUCACCGUAAUCUAGAAUAACCUCAUGCAUUGGAACGGAUGAGUGAGCGAUGGUCGGACUCAAACUAGGGUCAUUAGUUGGUGCCAUUUUCCUCUUCUGGGGUUGUGAAUCCUUUGAACCAAGGGGUCUGCCACGCUUCAAGGUCGGAGCAGAUGAUUAGCUAGCCGCCAAUGUACCUUGCUGCGUGGAAGGUGUGACCUCCCCAUCUUCAGGGACGGUCUGACCUUCCCAGAUGGGUUGUUGACGUACACGGGUACAUCUAUCCUUAUAGGUGUGUUUGCAGCGAGUAUAUGUGAUCUUGUCACAUUUGCUAGAUCAUUAAAAGCAUCCAGCAUGCUUUGAGCAAUGCUCUGAAGAUCUAUAAUUCGACGUACCUCAGUUUCAGACUGAGCAGUGCGGGGAUCUAAAUGAGACAUAGUGGGAGCAUACCACGACAAUUUGCGGCAUUCUAUGGGAACGUUAGCAUACUUAUCUCCCCUUAACAACGGGAAGACUGUCUCAUUAAAGUGACAAUCCGUAAAACGUGCGGUAAAGAGAUCUCCUGUCAAAGGUUCUAAGUAGCGAACAAUUGAUGGCGAAUUAUAACCGACAUAGAUUCUCAUUUUUCUCUGAGGACCCAUUUUGGUACCUAGCGGCAGCGUUAUUGACAUAUAAAUAGCACACCCAAACACCCGUAAAUGCGAGACGUCAAGCUCGUAUCCAGUGAUCAACUGUAACGGUGAAUGUGGUUGGGUAGUAGUGGGCCUCAGGCGGACCAAUAUAGCUGCGUGCAAUAUUGCAUAGCCCCUGGCAGAUACCGACAGUUUGGUUCUCAUAACCAAAGUUCGAGCUAUCAAUUGAAGGCGCUUUAUGAAAGCUUCUGCCAGGCCAUUUUGUGUGUGAACAUGGGGUACAGGAUGUUCCACAUUUAUCCUUACUAACAUGCAAUAAUCGUCAAAAGUCUGUGACGUAAACUCUGCAGCGUUAUCCAUUCGAAUCGACUUGAUCAGAUAAUCAGGGUAAUGAGCCCUUAGCGUAAUGAUUUGAGCUAGGAGUUUAGCAAACGUGGUGUUGCGUGUGGACAACAAGUAAACAUGUGACCAUCGUGUCGAUGCAUCAACCAACAUCAUAAAGUAUCUAAAUAGUCCACAGGUUGGUUGGAUAGGUCCACAAAUGUCCCCUUGAAUCCUCUGCAGAAAUUUAGGAGGGUCGUGAAUGAUCUUUGUAUAUGAGGGUUGAGUAUUUAACUUCCCUAAAGAACACACUUUGCAUGGUGGGAGUCCAACAUAAGGAUGUAACUUAUGCUCGUGUGAAGAUUUGAGGAUACGGUGCAUCGUGUCACAUCCAGGAUGUCCCAAAUGAUCAUGCUAAAGCAACAAAGUGUUCGGGAACUCAAGCAUAGGGCCGGCCACACUAUGGGCUUCUAUGCCACGAAUGGUUGUGAUGUACAACCCACUCGGCAAGUGUUCCAACUUCUCGUGAAUAUGCUUCUGGACAUAUGCAUACGAAGUGAUACAAGGAAAUUCAAAACCAUGAUCUUCAGUGGUUUCAAGAUGAUAUUGAUUAUCUCGAAUGUCUCUAAAACUCAGCAACAUUCUUCCGGAACGUGGAGAAUAGAGUGCCUCUUUAAUUGUCAUAAUUGUACCAUUAGACAACAUGAUAUGUGUAUUUUCGUAUCUUUCAAUUAGGUUGGAUGAGCCUGAGAUAGUUGUUAAAUGAGCUUUCUUGGGUAUGAAGUUAGUAAAAUAAUGUCGUUCACGCAAGAUGGUGUGCGUGGUUGCACUAUUUGCCAGACAACUAACUUCCCCACUAGACAUACCUAGAAAUAAAUUGAUUGAAUUGGUCACAUGUAUAAAUAUAAGUCCAUUCAGUCAAUUAAGCAAUUCGAGAAAAUAAUAUCCAUUCAAAUAACAAUCCAUAAUUCUAAAACAAACCAAAACCAAACAAAUUAUUCCAAAUACUUAGAAAAAUUGUUCAAAAUUAAACCAUAAACCUAGCAAAAUAGAGGGGUAGGGCCAACCACUCCUAGUAGGUUCCGCCACCUAGGGUAAACACCCUAAAUACAUGUCUAUUUUAUACAUCCAUAGGCGUUAACGCCUCCUGGAAAUCCGAUAUCUCCAUUGAUGUAGUUUCAUCUUCCGAAUGAUCCACAUGUGCAAAGUUAGACUCACAACGGGAAUGAUACUUGGCAAUAGCCUUAGGGGAAGCUCGGGAUAUACGUGACUAAUGAUCCCAUGAUCCACAGUGAUAGCACAUGUCCAGUUCAGUAGAAGCAGCCUGAACGGGAGCUUUGCCCUUGUUCUUGAAGUUGGGGACCUUAGGGGCGAGUGGUGGACGUUGCUAGGUCACAUUUCUUCGUUUAGGUGCGGCACUCUGUUGACCUUGGGCCCGUGGUUGGGUUUGCAGCCCAUGGCCACAGCCAUGACGGUUUUUUCGUCGUGUAUGGCUGCUAGAAUAGGUUGCAUGCGCUUCAAGCGUAGCUUUCGAGCCAAUAGGUCGAGCUUGAUGAUUCUUCAUCAAAAUCUGGUUCUGUUUUUCAGCGAGAAGUAAAACAGAGAUCAAAUCCGAAAACUUGGUGAAUUUUUGUGCCCUAUAUUAUUGCUGCAUGACAAUAUUGGUGGCAUGGAAGGUCGAAUAGGUCUUCUCCAGGAGAUUUGAUUCGGUUAGUUCCACUUUGCAGAAUUUCAACAGAGAACGGAUUCUAUAAACUUCAGAGUUGUAUUCAUUCAUGGACUUGAAGUCCUGGAAGCGAAGAUGUUGCCAGUCGUGUCUUGCUUCAGGCAAGUAUAUGUCUUUCUAGUGAUUGAAAAGGUUGGCCAGAGUAAGCCAGAGGGUGCGUGGGUCCUCCUCAGCGAGAUACUCAAUCUGCAGUGCAUCAUGAAUGUGUCUUCGGAUGACGAUCAUUGCAGUAACCUUCUAAGGUUCAUCAACAGGUUUCUCAGCGAUAGGUGCCUCAAUGGUGGCUCUAAUACCCUUUGCAGUGAGAUGGAGCUUCACGUCUUGAACCCACUUCAGAUAGUUUCUUCCAGAGACUUCUAGAGUGGAGAAAUCAAGUUUGUUCAAGUUCAACAUGUCCCUAAAACGGAGGGAGAAAAUGUGAUUAGUCAUAUGGUAAGCCAUAGACAUAUAUUGUAGAACAUACAGGUUCUAUAGACAUGUAGUGGUUUAAUUUAUGCAUGAAAACUACGGGCUUCAUGUGGUAUGUUUUGAAUGAAAAAUUCAGGUUUCAAAGGCACUAAAUUUGAAACUACAGGUUCAAUUUAGUUUUAUGAACAAUUAGUUCAUAAUGAAAGGUUCCUGCAAGAAACACCGAAUGCAAUAUACUAAUUUGAAUAUAGUGGAUUUGAGUUUCUUCGGGAACUCAAGUGUGAGAGCUUCGUUACUAUGAAAGUAUGUGACGGUUCAAAGUAUAAAAAUAAAUUAUUGAAUCGUUAAUGUCCAAAACUGAUCUUCAGGUCAAUAAUUUUGGAUUCAUUAUCAGAUUCAUGGACUGCAUUUCACUUUUAAUUAAUUUAAUAAAUCGGGCCAUACGAGGUCGAUUGUCGAAGCUAAAUAAUAUUAAAAUAAUAUUAUUGGAUAAAAAAAGAUAGUCCCAAAAUAAUUUGGGCUUGGUGCCGUGGGUAAAGGCACGGGUGUGGGUGCCUUAAGCAUAAGGCGAGGCCCAAAAAAAAAAACAUUGGGGUGGUCUAUAGGCCAUGGUGAAGGGAGAAAACCCCAGCCGCAAGCUGGGUUUCAAAAUUGGAUCGUGAGGACGGCAUGGAAACAAGCCCAGCACACGCUGGCUUAUAGGCGAACACGCGGGAAGGCCCAGCGAAGGCUAGGACCUGGGUGGUAGGCACGGGAAGCUAAGCCCAGCGCAUGGGCUGGCUGCUAAUGAUGCAGGCCGUGACACAAGGGGCCCAAUAAGCUAGGCUUGCAGACUGUGGACCAGAAACUAGGCUACAGGCCCGUGGUUGUGGAGCAGUAAGCCCUACAGGGGAUGCGCAGGUAGUCCAAGGGCAUCAAGGUGAUGCCAUCCCACGGUGAGACCAAAAACAUACCCAAUUUUCGAACCUAGGGUUUCAGAAAAACCCAAAUUUGCUUCUAAUUUAAUUUUAUAAUUUGACUCACAAAUUCCACAUAACAAUGUAAUUGUGCGAUGCAUGAAACAAAUAUAUAUAUAUAUAUAUAUAUAUAUAUAUAUAUAUAUAUAUAUAUAUAUAUAUAUUGACAAAUAUAUGAACAUAUACAAUAUAUAUAUCGAAAGGAAAAUAUAAACAUAGAGGGGUUCAUGCAUCAUGGAGAAUGUUUUCAUGCUUCAUGGACGUUUCAAAUAUCUUCUUUUAUUUUAAGCGUACCUGAUUAGUAGAAAACGAAUAAGCCUUUGAAUAUGGUGGAUGAUAGCCUCCUCCAACGAUGCGUUAAUUCCUCAGCUUCUGGCAAGAGCGUGCUGAUAACUUGUUGUAGGCAUAUCUGAUUGAACGAUCUAGGGUUUAGAGAGAGAGAGGGGGUCGGCCACUAUUAGAGAGAAGAGAGAUUGAUUUAAUUGUGAGGUAUGUUUGAUUUACCCCAUUGUGCCUUUAUUUAUAGUAGUAGGAAGGGUAAAACAUUUCCCUUUAGAAUUACAAAAUUUAAUUGGUAAUCUAAUCCUAAUAGGAAUAUAAGAUACAUUCCCAGAUUCCCUAGGAUUUACAUAAUCACAUUCCUAUUCUAAAUAUGACUGCAACAAGUGGAGCAUUAUAGGGAUUUAAAAGGAAAUAAAGGCUUAGGGUGCAAAUAUUAUAAGAAAAUUAAAUGAAAAUAAAGGCUGAGUGGAGUAGUUAUAGGAAAUUUGAAAAGAAAUAAAACUUUGCUAAUCAAAAUGCAGGGGCGGAAUCUGAAUGGGCAACAAUUUAAAAAAAAAUUAAGAAAUAGAGAUUCCCCAAUAUCAUGCUAAGAAUAGCUAGGAUUUCUAGAAGAAGAUGUCAUUCGUUUGAUGAGAAAUAAAAAGGAAUAUAAAAAAAUUCGAGUGGUUGAAGCUGAAGCAGCUAUUUUUCGAAGUAACAGAAAGAAAAGCAACAACUUAAGUGGGAGAGUCAGAGUCAAAAAUAGGAUUCCUCACUUCUUUCUCUUAUUCAAAACCAUGCAUGAGACUUUCUUCUCGCUCGGCUCCCAAGUGAUAAAAGAAAGAAGAACUCAAGAAAGAAGAACUCAUCUUCUUUCUUUUUUUAUUACCUUCCUCGCGUAUGUAUAAGACCGAAUUCAUUCAAUUUCUAAAAAGGAUUACUAAUCCUUAACUUUUUGAGGAAUCCUUCAUCAGUGGUUGUGAAUGACUCUCAAUCUUUUCGACCUUGGUUCCGUAGGAGCAAGUCAGAAAGAUUGAGAAAUAGAACCAUCUGAUUUGAUUCAUGCUCAAUAGCCAUGAGAUGAUCAUCUUUGGGUGAUCCUUUUGUCGAUGAAUGCUCCUAUUACACUUGUUUCUGAAGGAUGAGAACCAAUUAUGUAACAUCUACAUCGAGAAUUCAAGUACUACUGCAUUACAAUGGGAUAACAUAAUCAAUUAAAAGAGAUCCUCUAAUUUUAAUUACGAAUUCGUUAGGCCCUUUCAGAACAACCUCUCAAAUUGAUAAUUUUUAUUCAUUUUUACCAUUUAAUAACUCAUAAUCAGAUUUCGUUAACUAAAUAUUUGCAACUCACCAAUUUAAAAAAGACUUCUCAAGUAUUUCAAUAUUAUUUAAUGGAUGAAAACAAAAGAAUUCUAAUUUCAAUAUGAACACACUUUUGAAUGCAUUCAGUUUGAAUUGGCAUUUUUCUCCAUCAUAAUUAUUGUGAUGCAACAUCCACAAUAGUUAGCCUCGAACAAUUAGAGUUAAACUUUGUCACGUAAAAUUUGGAGAGAGAAACUCUCCUUCUUCGUUGAAACUAGAAGAGUCUCCUGCAUUAGAAACAGACAUGGAUUUUGAAGGUAAAAAAUGGCCCAAGUCAAUCGCCUAGGCACCGCCUUCGUAGCCCUAGUGCGCCCCUACGCCGACCUACGCCCACCUCCACAAAACAGAAGCAAAAACCCAACUGCCCAACCUCCAAGGCCACCUAGGCACGCCUUGAGACAAGUUUUUUAAAACACUGCUAAAUAGUAAAGUUGUUAUUAAUUUUUAGCUAAAUUACCUUUAAAUUCUUUUUCCUUUAGUCUAUGGUUAAAAACAAACAAAUUAAAAUUUCAUUUCCAUAAUCCACGUAAAGAGAAAAGCAAAUCCAUUACACUUCUUUGUGCCAAUACCAAGUAGUCCUACAAAAUAAAAGAAAAAUAGGGAGUUUACUCCUUAAUGACACAAUUGGAAGUCAAGAGCCGAUGAUGCGAUGCCGUCCCCCUAUGCCUUGCUGUCUACGCUCAUGGGUUCCGCGUCUUUAUCCGUUGCUUUCUGCAAAAGCCAAAAAAUUGAACCCCCAAUCAAAACCAGACGAUAAAAAUCAAGAACGCAUGAGAAAACACCAGUCUAUGACCAGAAGGACGCUUACAUUGUUAUCGAGAGAGUCCGACUUGGUCAAUUUGGCAAACAUGUUGCCAUAGAACUUGGCCUCCUUUUUAUUGUAUUCUUUCAUCUUCUCCUUCAGUGUCUUGUGCUCCAGCUUCACAUCCCUGUUUUAACAAAGAAACAAGUGUUAACAUUUUCACUUCUCCGCGAAACUGUGCGAGCGGAAACAAGGAUCCAGAUAAGAAGCACAGACCUGUUGUUAGGGUCUAUUUCAAGAGCUUUCUUGAUGUCAAGCUCAGCUAAAUCCAAAUCUGCCAGCUGAAUAUAUGCCUGAGCCCUUCUGUACAGAGCCUUCACAUUUCUGCCCUCGAGUUCCAACACCUGUGUACAAUUAGAUGUUCGGUUAUAUAAAAGUAGACAAUUAAAAGGGACCUAUCAAGCAUUUCUUAGUUCUAAAUUGCAGACCUUGGAACACAAUUUUUCAGCCUGUUUAUAAUCUUUCAGCUUCAGCUUGCAAGCUGCAUCGUUAAGAUUGCAGGCAACCUUCAACGCCUUGGCUUGUUUUUUCGCUUCUUCACUGAAGCUAGAGUCAUAGUCGAUGUACUUCACAGCCUGCAUUGAAGAAGCUACGCUUCAAUAAGCAUAAAAGCAAAGGCCAAACCAUCAGGUUUCACAAGUCCAUAUGUUUGUCAUCCUACCUUCUCAUAUCUCUUGGAAGCUCUUGCAUAUUUACCCGCCUUAAACAAAGCAUUCCCUUCUUCCUUCUUCUUACCAGCAGCUUCAAUUUUUUCCUCAGUAUUCAUGUCCCACGAUUCCUUAUCCUGAGGGUCGAAACGAAUUAAAAAAUUGUUUGAAAACAAAACAUACAAUCCCACUAAUUUCAUACCAACGGGAUACAUGAUGCAAUGUAAACUGAGCGGCAUUAUUGACGCACCUUCUCAAAAGAUGCAAGCUCAACCUCAUAGUUGACAGUUGAGUUAGGAGGUACCACAGCCAACUCCUGCUGGGACUCCGAAGAGCCAAAUGCAUACUCUGGUGCAAUAGUCAGGAGUGCUACCUCACCCUUCUUCAUUGUCAAUACAGCUCUAUCAAGCCCGUCAAUCACUUGCUCUGUCCAAUACAAGCAAUGGCUCAGCACCAUUGAAGGCCAAAAACACAAAGAAACGUUAACAAAAGCGCUAGUAUUAUUACCUUCAUCUGUUUUAAACUCGAACAGGUCUUCUCCUUCGGCAUGACCUUUCUUCAAAAAUUCCUUCCCAUCUUGCAGCUUCCCAAUCAAUUUCACUGCCAGUCACAAAAUCAAAUAAUAAUUAAUAACAUACAAAUGUGCUAAAGAUUUCACAGUACUCAUCCCAUAUUAAUGAAGAAACACUUACAUUUAACAACAGCCCCUUCAUUUGGACGCUCAUAUCCCUCCCCUUCUUUCAGGAUCUUCUUAAUAACCUUCUUGUCAUCUGUCACUUCAGAUACAGUUCUCCAUGAUACCAACUCUAAAGUGAUAUGCAGAGUUGUAUUUGGAGGAACUGCACCCUCGGAACCAGAUGCAGGUUUGCCUUUAUCCCCAAAUCCAUCUGCAACCACACACAAGUAGAAAUACAUAUUUAAUUAUUGUUAUUUUCAAAUUUCAUAUAAAAUCAGACUGGUGGCUCAAGGCAACUUACAUUGUGGUUUAACCGUUAACAAUACCUUCUCCCCCUUCUUCAUUGUUUUAACAGCCUUUGAAAUUGCAGGACAGAAGUAACCUAAUUACAUUAAUUAGAAGAUUACCAGUCCAUUAAAAAGCAAAAUUCUCUACAAAAUUAAUGAACUGAUAUACGACAAGCAAAAGGUUACCAUCUUUGAUAGUGAAUUCCACAUCUUGAGAUUUUGCAACAAGUGUUUUAUCUUCAAGCUGCGCCUCAAAAUUAACUGCAUAACAAACAGGGAGGGAAGGAAGUUAACAGACAAAGGUGACAGAUAGUGCACAAGCAAACAAUAACACACAUCGAAGAGAAACUUUUACCUAUAACUUCGUCGAGGUCUUUUGGGUUCUCCCAUUUUUCUCCCUCUUUCAAGAUCUUCUUGAUUACACCACCAUCCUUGGAUAUGUCAUUGACACUGGUCCACGAUAGCAAUUCAACGUCGAAUUGCAAUGUGGCACUGGGAGGGAUAGUUGGUGGCGAUCCAGACUCACCAUAAGCCAACGCAGGAGGAAUGGUGAAAAGGGCAUUCUCACCUUUCUUCAUUGUUCUAAUACCUUCAUCCCAUCCUUUAAUCACUUGCCCUGCACAACCACAUCACAAAACUCGCUAAGUGAGAGAGCGCUCGCCCGGAAGAAAAAUUUAACUACUAAAAUUCCCGGUUCAGUAGCACAACAACUAAUCUUAACAAGGAACAUCAUAAUCGAUAUCCAUGCAACUACACCAAACACAGUUCCAUCUUUUUUAACAUAUUAAAAAAGAGACAAACUUAACCCACAACAGGGACGGCACUGUGUCAGUAUCUCAAGCCAAUCAGCAAUGUCAUGUGCUUAGCUUAGGAUCCCGCCACAGUGAUACUUACUAAAAUUGCAUUGAUACACACUAACAAAGAAAUUUAAAUACAAAAGCACUAUAUUUGUGCAAAACUAGCCUACCAACUAAUCCAAAUCAACCAGAAACAUAAUCAAGUUCAUUAAUUUCAUCAGAUUGAAGCUGAAAAGGUAAAAAAAAGCCCUCACCUUGUCCAAGAGUGAACUUGAACGGAGUCCCCCCGUCGCGGCUCGAAUCGAACUGAGUCCCGUCCAGCAAUGUCCCAGUAUAAUGAACUAAAACCACGAACACCCCAAUCAAAUAAUCAAACCUAAUCCAGAACCAAUCCCAAAACAUCAAAAAUUUCCAAACAAAAAAAUGAAAAAUAAAACAGAAAAAGAGCGAACCUUCAACUUCGUCGCCAUUAUUGGGGGUGUCCCAGCCUUCACCUUCCUUGAGGAGCUUCUUCUUCAAGCCCUGGUGGCCGAUCUCCUUCUCCUCGCCGACCUUCAGCACCGGCCCCUCAUCGGGGAGAUCGAAGUCCUCGUUCAUCUCCUCCGCCCCCGGCAUAUCGAAGUCCUCGUCCAUUUUCUCGAAAGCGCGAGAUGAAAAAUUCAACGAUUCGAAAGCGUAUUACGAGAUUCUGGAGAUUGAAGAAAAUUGGGGAAGAGUGAGAGUGAGGAAGACGAGGCUUUUAUAGUGUUAUUUUUUCGAGUUCUAGAGGCUUCUACAAGGGAUUCGGGCUGCAGCGCGAGGUUUGUGACAUGAUUUGGUGCUUUGUCGAAUUGAUGUUUAUCGUGCUCCGGGGUUUAACCGACGGCUCAGAUUAAUGAUUCAGCAUAAUAGACGACAUGCCCUUCCAUUUAUAGAACUUGGUACUUGGUAGGCCCGAAUUGUUUCGGUUUGAUUCAGUUCGUUUUUUUUUUUUUUUUUUUUUUUUUUUUGAAGCAAUGAUUCAGUUCGUUUUAAUACGGCUUAGACGUCAUUUCACAAGAGGUUUAUAUAAAAUAGAUGAGAAAAUAAUAUUUAUGAGAAUACUAAUAACAUUUUCAUUUUUCUUCAUGUCACGUGCACUCUAUUGGCAAUUAAAUCUAAAAUUAAUUAUAUUAAAAUUCCAUCAUUUUUUUCCUUUUUAAAGAGCAUAAAAAUGUUAGUUUGUAAAUAAAAAAAGUAAUUAAAUUUUUUAUUUUACGUGCUAUUACAAUAUACGUGUCAUGAGUAGAUUGCUAGUACUAUCCAAGAUCUAUUUAACUUUGGUAUUGAGAUAUUUUCGAUUUGAAUUGCAUAUAUGAGUUUAUGUUUAGAAGAAGAAGAGAAAAAGAAAAAAAGAAAAAAAAGAAAGAGGGAGUAGUAGUAAAAUCAUUAGUAAAAUUUUCAAUAAGUGUCAUGAGUACUAAAAUUAAUUAGUGUUGUAUUAAUUUGAUACAUAAAAAAACACAUAAAUUCAAAGUAUCUUAUAAAAUCCCUUGGAGUUAAUCCUAUCCAAACCUUCUGCACGUCGUUUUCUUUGCGAUGUUUGUGUUUUUGUCUUUUCAGGACGGAUCAGGAUCCUUUCCUAAGCUUAGGAGGCUGAGGUGAGCGAAUCAUACUUGGCUACUCAAAGAUAAAUAGAAACUCGUAUUUAAAAUUCUUAGUGUUUUAAUCAUAGAGCUUUAUGCUUAUAAUCAGAACCGUUCAUACUAUGAAUCACACUGUAAAGAUCAUCCAUGAAAAAAAAAAUUAAAAUUAAGAUCGUAUAGUGAAUCUAUUGUAGUAAAUACAUAGACGGUUCGUAAUGCUUUUACUAAUUCCGUUCAUUCGUUUUUAAACAGUUUGAUAACUAAAUGAGCUUAGUUUUAAUUUCUUUUUCUCUUUUUUUUUUGCACAGCGAUCUUUAUAGAGUGAUUUAUAAUAUAAAUGGUUCUAAUUAUAAACACGAAGUUCUAUAAAUUGACAACGAACAAUUUUGAAAUUUUUUUAGUAAGAGUUCUUACUCAUCUUUGAGUAGUCAAGUAUUGUUCAGGUUGAGCCUCAUGAGCAAACUCAUUGGACUGUUGAAAUUUGAUCUAACGACUACAAUUAUUAUAACUUUUAGAAUGGCUCCUUGUUUGUAGACGUUGGAUCAAAUUUCAAUUGUCCGAUGAGUUUGCUCAAAAGGCUCAGCCUUCUAAGCUCAGCAGAGGAUCCUGAUCCUUUCAGUACAUGCAAAGGCUCAGUGGCUCAGUAGAAGCAGUGUGUUUUUACGUGCAGUACAUCUUCUGUAGUUUUAAGGACCACUAACAGUGUUCUAAAAAUCGGCCUAGGCGUUAGAUGGUGAAAGCCUGUCCCGAUUUUAGGCAAAUCGUUUCGAAAAAUCGGUCUGGAGCUAGGCGGCUGCCUAGGCAGUCCUAAGCAGCACUUAUGGAAAUGGUGUGCCUAAUUUACAAAUGAUGAAUUUACUACAAGUUCAUCAAAUAGUGAAACGAAUUGGAGUACUUUUGAGGGGAUACAACAAAGAAAAGAAAUACGAUAGAUACAACAACGUUAAAUAAUUUAGCCUAUGUCAAUUCAAAGCAAGGAUCAUGAUUCAUCUACUUCUAAUUUGUGUAUUGAACUUUUUUUGGAUGUAUAUAAUUUGUGUAUUGAACUUUUUUGGAUGUAUAUGCUUUGUGUAUUGAACUUUUUGGAUGUAUAUAAUUUGUGUAUUCUUCUACUUCUAUUUUUGCAUUUUAUUGUUCUUUUAUUAUCCAUACAAGUAUAGUUUUUUUUAGGUGUAAAUAGACACUUAUUUACAAGAUAUAUAAUAAAUUUACAUAAAUCUUCAUAGGCGGCCUAGGUACCCGCCUAAAUGCUAGGUCCCUACCCACCGCCCGACUAACACUUAGCGAUUUUUAGGAUCUUGACCAAUAAUACUUAAUAGCACUAUUUACUAUGUUCCGGUUCUGGAAAAUCUGUUGAUUGUGUUACCAUCCGCGCACGUUUGCUUUAUUCGGAAGGAAAGCCUCCCCACCAAAAUAGGGCAGAGGCCAUUGGUAUAAAUGCACCCCAAAUCUAUGAGGACAAAGAUAUUUUGUGUAUGUGAAAAUUGGGCGUGGCUUCAAUGUUAUUAGUAUUUUAACAGAUUUGAUUUUUACAAUUAUUCAGACCUUCUAUUUUUAGUCAUUCAAUCAUUCAUUUUUUGUGUCAUUCAAUGAUACACAAUAUUGAAGAAAAAUCUGUGACGAUGAGAAAUGAGAAAAUUGAAAAGCAAACCAAGAAUAAUUGCGCUCAUUAGCAUGAAAUCGUAUUGGUCAAACUUGAAUGCUUUUCAGUUGUGCAAAGAUUUGAACCAUACUGUUUGAGUUUACAAUUCAUUCAACAUUCAUACCUUUAAAACUUCGUUUGCAAGUUGUAAAAAUAAUAUAAACUCUUUCCGCGGUUUGCACUUUCUAAAACACUUUGCAAAUGAAGAAAAUGGUUGUUUGAAUAAAAUUUAAAGGACAAAAUCUCGUCUUAAUUAAUUCGAACUCUCCAUGAUGAACCGAAUCAUAUCUCGUCUUAUUUAAUCCGAACUCUUCAUUACAUGCAGCAUACCCAUCACAGAUCAAAGUAGAUCUUUGGACGACAAAUUUAAAACAAAGAUAAAAGGUCGUACCCAGUGCACAAGACUCCCGCUUUAUGCAGGGUCUGGGAGAGGUGAAUGUCGGCUAGCCUUACCCCCAUUUAUGGAGAGGCUGCUCCCAAGUUUCGAACCCGAAACCCACAUAACAUUCUUUACAAACCCAGAAUUAAUUAAAGUUUGACAGGAAUCGAAGCUAUUAAGAUCACACGGCGAACGUAUUAUCUUACUAAAGUACAUUCAGUAAAGUAUAGAAUUCCGUCAUAGAAAACACAUCGUUAGUAUACUGUCGGAAGCAGAUUAAAGAGUAUUUACAAGCUGAAAAACCAGUAAACUCUCAUGGCCAGUGGAAACCACUAUCAAAUGUGAUUAUCUGAAAUUGGUUACUUAGGCAUAGGCUUAGGUAUAUGGGUUUGCCUGUAUCCUGCUAUGUAUUCCAACUUUAGGAAUUCAGGGAACUAAGUUUAGGUCAAUAAGUAAUUUCUUAUUUUAGCGUAAGUCAGUGGUCAUUUAUUUUCUAGCAUAGGUCAACAGAAAUUUAGAAAAUCAUGUAUCCCGAGCUCAAAAGAUAUUGGAUCGCCCCUUUCAAAACUAGAAUGAAAUACAGUUCCAUCAGUAGUUUCACCUGCAAAGGUCGAAGACGAAAACUUUUAGUCAUUUCAGUCU
rnacentral:lncRNA from 1 species